rnacentral:lncRNA from 1 species
AGGAGGCUUAUCCUCUUUGGGUGGUUUCUCACCAUGUUCCUUUGGAGGUUGUUGUGGUCCUUCAUGUUCUGGAGGUGGUUUCUCUCCCUUACCCUUAGGAGGCUCUUGGGGUGGUUCGUGUUCUAGAGGUGGCUUCUCUCCCUUACCUUUAGGAAGCUCUUGGGGUGGUUUCUCACCAUGUUCCUUUGGAGGUUGUUGUGGUCCUUCAUGUUCAUGGGGUGGUUCAUGUUCUGGAGGUGGCUUCUCUCCCUUACCCUUAGGAGGCUCUUGGGGUGGCUUCUCUCCCUGACCUUUAGGAGGCUCUUGCUGCGGUUUAUGCUCUGGGAAUGGUUUCCCUCCUCUACCCUCAUCAUCCUCUAUCAAAAUGUGUCCAGGAUGAGGAUCAUGUGGAGGUUUCUGCUCCGGUGGUGGCUUUUCACCCUUUCCUCUAGGUGGCUCUUGUGGCUCCUCAUGUUCAGGAGGUGGUUUAUCGCCUUUACCCCUAGGAGGCUCAUGAGGUGGUUCUUGUUCUGGAG